UACGUAGGGGGCGAGCGUUGUCCGGAUUUACUGGGCGUAAAGGACGCGCAGGCGGCCCGAGGGGUCUGUCGUUAAAGCCCCGGGGCUCAACCCCGGGUGGUCGGCGGAGACCGGCGGGCUUGGAGGCCGGUAGAGGGAUGCGGAAUUCCCGGUGUAGUGGUGAAAUGCGUAGAGAUCGGGAGGAACACCAGAGGCGAAAGCGGCAUCCUGGGCCGGGCCUGACGCUGAGGCGUGAAAGCGUGGGGAGCAAACAGG
rnacentral:rRNA from 1 species